CGGAGGAAGGAGAGGCUCUGCGCACGUGCAGAACGGACUGCCUUACGACACCGCCACCCCAAACGGCUGAAGGGGUGAGGGGCUCCGCGCACGCGCAGAGCGGCACAACAGGGCUGCAGGACACGUUAGGAAACGGGGAGGCGGCUCCUGCGCUCUCGAGCGGAGACACGGGGGUGGGUGGGGGAAGAUCGGGUCAAGAUGGUGGUCGAGCGAGCUAAAGAAAACCCAGAUAUUGUGUGUGCCUCCGAACGGAGCGCACGACGCGUAGCUGCUCAGCGAGAAACUUGAAUGUGCCUGAGGAGAAAACGCGUUGAAGACAGCGCUGCGCAGACGCCGCUUGCAGCUGGACUUGCGCAGGCGCGGAGUGUAGCUCAGGCCGGCACAGGCGUACUGUGGCGGCAGCCCCUGCGCAGGCGCGGUUUGGAGGCCAAGACUAUGGAAGUCUGGCGGGCUGAGGGGGAGCCUGGCCCUCUGUCCUUCGGCGUUUGUCGCCCGUCUAGUCCGCGGGUCCCCCUUCCGCAGGAGCCUCUGCCCUGCUCCCUGCAUUCCAGGUUUGCUGAACUGCUGCGCUCCCCCUGACUGCCAUGCUGUUUCGUCCAUUUUCCCAUCUCGUAAUGUAUCGUCUGUCUGAUGCCCUUUCGGACGCUCCCUCGUUCCUCCGUCUGCCCUGUGUCUUUGGAGACCAGAUGCCGUGUCUUGGGAGCCUUUCCUGACAGUGGAGAAGACGCGAUCCCCGUUGCGUGGGCGUGCUGUGCUCCCGAGCUUGGCACUGGCACAACCGGUUACCGGUAGCAGUACUGUGCCGAUUUCACUUUGGGUCUCUUUAGCUCUUCUAAAGUACGGGGUGGACUUUGUCAUUUGUGUCCAGCUUCUGUUAAUACGGGGCUCGGAGCUGACAGGCACCAUCGUUACUUGCUGCCCGACCAGCUUAAUGAAUGAAUAAAUGAAUGUGCUGUUUUCUGAA